AAAAAUUUAGUUAAUAUUAUAACAUUGGCUUGUCAAGUCAAAAUAAACAUAAUAAUGUUAAUUUUUA
rnacentral:tRNA from 1 species